UUGAACGCUGGCGGCAUGCCUUACACAUGCAAGUCGAACGGUAGAGGGGCAACCCUUGAGAGUGGCGAACGGGUGAGUAAUGCAUCGGAACGUGCCCAGUCGUGGGGGAUAACGCAGCGAAAGCUGUGCUAAUACCGCAUGUGAUCUGUGGAUGAAAGCAGGGGACCGCAAGGCCUUGUGCGAUUGGAGCGGCCGAUGUCAGAUUAGCUAGUUGGUAGGGUAAAA
rnacentral:rRNA from 1 species